UAUAUAUUGUCAUCACUAUCAUCUGUAUUAUUAAUUAAACAUUUACCGGGUUGGAUUUUCACCUAUGGUAGCUUUUACGAAGGUUAAUAUUCGUGUAAAGAUUUCGUGGAACCAUUUCGCUGUGAUAUGCAGUUGGAGCAGGAGUGUGGCAGAAACGAAGAAAGGCGCACGCACAUGUCAGCGAUUGCACGGUAAAGAAUCGAACAUGUCUCCGCGAGGAAUUGUAAUAGAUGGAUAAAUACGCUGUUAUUUUCCAACGUUUCCCUGAUAAUAAACAGGAAGGCACAAAGAAAAAAAAUAUACUUAACUAGCUCUCAACUGUUGCACGAGAAGAAUUACCAGCGUAGAAGAGAUAAGCAAUAAAACUGCGUUCUUAUUUCGAAUUCGCGGAUCAAUCAAUCUCUGCCAACUAUGUUAACAAGUCAAGUAGCAAACUAAGAAUCGUUUUCAGCAUGAUCAUACGUGUAAUAGGAAACUGAGAGAAACUAGACGACGGCGGAGUAAGAUAGUGAAACUAGUAGCUAGCCUUGAGGUAAGUCCUCAAGGGACCAAGACCUCUGACCAUGGGACGUUUUCGCUUUACAUAAACAUUAUUCUACAGGACACGCAUAUAUACCGAAUAUAUCCACAGGUUAUGUUCGUAAUCGAGAUUGCUAAGACCAUUAACAUUAUCAGCCCUGAUGCUUAACACUCGAAUUAAUCCAUUCUUCGUAUGCAAGCAUUUAUUAAUAGAAAGAUUUUCAAUUAUCGAUAACGAUAAUAUUUCAACGUUAUCUAAAUACACGCUACCGAUUCUUAUAACUUGUUAUUCUUUUAUUCGCUAGUUAUUAUCUAAUAGGAUCGGGAUGGAAGUUAGUGUGACUUUCAAGCCGUUGAUAUACGUUGCAACGAUUUGACC
rnacentral:misc_RNA from 1 species